GACGACGCUUGCGGCGUGCCUAAGAAAUGCAAGGUCGAGCGAGGUUUAGGCUUCGGCCGACGACCUAGCGGCGAACGGUCGCGUAACACGUAAGCAACCUGCCCUAAAGUUGGGGAUAGCCCGCCGAAAGGCGGAUUAAUACCGAAUGUGGAUAUGAUUUCGCAUGUGAUUAUAUCUGAAGCAGCGAUGCGCUUUAGGAUGGGCUUGCGGCCUAUCAGUUAGUUGGUGUGGGUAACGGCCUACCAAGACGACGACGGGUAGCUGGUCUGAGAGGAUGGUCAGCCGGAUUGGGACUGAGACACGGCCCAGACUCCUACGGGGGGCAGCAAUUAGGAAUCUUGCGCAAUGGGCGAAAGCCUGACGCAGCGACGCCGCGUGACUGAUGAAGUCUUUCGAGAUGUAAAGGUCUUUUGUUGGGGACGAAGGAAGUGACGGUACCCGACGAAUAAGCCCCGGCUAACUACGUG
rnacentral:rRNA from 1 species